CCGAGCUUAGCUCAGAUGGAAGAGCGAUGGUUUGUAAGCGGAGCAGCCCUUGAACGGGCUCUAGAUUGACCACCAUAGGUCGCCAGUUCGAUUCUGGCAGCUCGGA
rfam:Pseudozyma flocculosa PF-1 unplaced genomic scaffold scaffold00019, whole genome shotgun sequence.